UUUUCUGAUAAAAAAAGAAUGUUUAGCUGAAAAAUUCCAGACCCAGCUGCACUUAAGUAAAUUUUUUUUUUUUUUUAAAAGAAAGGAAGGAGGGAAAACACUUGCUCAUUUCCAUUCACCAGUUCAGUCACCAGUAUAAUUGUUAAAGUUUUUUCAGUCUCACUCUUCGCACUAUUCUUUGCAGCCUCCAGGAAGCCGCUGUCAGAAAAAAUUCAAUCUCCCCUCACAUCCAUACAUAAAUAACUUUCAAAGAAAUUGGGUAACUGGAACAGUAUCACCUAUGAAUUUAAGCCUAAUAUUACUCAUUCUUAAAACAAUUAAUUUUUCAGAAAGGCUGGAAGUGUAGUUGUACUUGGAAAUAGUUGAAGUGGCAUCAUGAGGGUCCACGUUAGCUGAAGUUAUUUUAAUAUCAAAUUUAUUCACGUUUUUUAUUUCUUUAUAAGCUACCAAACGGAGAUAUUACCGUCAAGUUAAAGUCUUUCUUUUCUCAUUGUCACCUGUAAGUUUCUGCAUGCCAAAUUCUGCCUUUACUUAUACCUGUGCAACCGGUUACACCUGUGCAAUUCCACUAUGUUCACUGUUAUUACACAGGUGUAAGUGAAGGGACAAUUUGGACUGCAAAUGAAUGCGUGUAAUGUGACAUUUUUGUUCCUUCUUUGCAAGCUGCUAGUUUUCUACCAGUAUAUACCUAAUCCAGCUCAUAGCUGUUCUCUCGAAUCUUCUAGAGAAUUGCUUUUGUGACACCAAUUUCCAAUCUAUAAAGGCAACAGGUACCUCAACAUACUCCCAGUAGAUACUUCAAAACCUUAAGCAAAACAUAUCCACAUUUAACAAUAAGAGCCCAGCAACAGCAAUCAAUAACUUCGAGAGAAUAAAAUAAUUGUUGGACUGGGUAGAUGAUUAAUUUAUAGUGAAAGGAAUUGUUCCAUUCUCCUACUAUCAUCAAUCCACCAGUCCUGGCCCAACUGGAAAUUAAACAGUAAGGAAAAGAAUACAGGAACAAGAAAAGGGUCAUCUUGCAGGACCCAGUAACAAAAAGCAGCAUCCAACAAGGUUACAAUAUCAGUUUUGUAAUGCUUAGUAAAAACAGCAGAAACAAGCAGGUCACAGCUAUGAAAUGCUUGUAAGAUGCUGUUUCUGACGCUAUCAUGGGUAUAGUUGGUUGUGCUCUUGAAGCAGAAGUUCUUCUGCUGAUUGUGAGAUCCAAACAAUAGCAGAACAAACUCAUCUUGCUAUAUUGGUCUUGAUGCUUUGAGGCUUUUCAUGAUCUCCAUAAAAAAUGAAAAGGCAAUUCUAUCUGCAGAAAGAAUUUUGUUUUGUCCAGAUAGUACUUUUUAGCAUUCUAAAAAUCCAGAAGAUGAUGGUGAAGCUCCAAAGGGCAACAUGGAUAGCUGGAACAUAAGCCUUUGCGAACCCAAUACCCUUGGGGGGUGGGGGAGGAAUGCGACAACAACAACCUGCAAUACCUUGACAAAAGCUUUUUUAAAAAUAAAUAUUUUUAGGGUUAAUGCCAAAGGGGGCAAACUAGGCUGUGGUAAAUGUUAGUUUUAGAGUCUCAUCCAGAUUUCAGGAUAAUUCUCCCAGAUCCCUUGAGUAGGCAAGAGUCCAGAAAGUUCAGCUUCUUGAGGUGGGAUAUUCUAAUCUAAAGUGCUCAGUACUAGCUUAAAAUCUGCAUGGACUUCAAUGGAAGCAGAGUUAAGCUAAUACAGAAUGCUUUGGAAAAUACCACCCUUCGUCUCCAGGUUUGGGUGCCUGAAUAAGCCCAAGACAGGAGAUCUCUGGUUACUGGGCAGCUUUAAGAGAUCUUGCCUUGACAUAUAAAAGACAAAACCUAGAGUUCAGUAGAAAAGCCCAGUUCAGGCCAGUUUUCAUGGCAACUUUGGCUAAUGAUUGAUGGCAUGAAGGCACAGAACUUCCACUUGAAGGAAAAGGUGUCCAUCUUCCAAGCAGACUUCUGUCAGUGCUGGGAGUAGAAACAAGAACAUAAUUGUUGUAGAAAAAGUUCCAUCUUGGGGACCCCAGAGGUGGGGAGAAAGGUAUGUAAAACAUGUUGGUUUAACUUAAUUACUACUCUUUGGCACGGGCACUUAUUGAGACAUCCAUGCACAUAACUGUCUGCUUCUUAUGACGGCCUUUCAAUACAAGACAUAAUCCUGAUCACCUCUAUAUAAAGAGGAACUCCAAAGUGCCCCCACAUCUGGCAAUACUGCUUAGGGUCAUUCUGUUGCCACAAUUUGUAAGAAUUUAUAGAUUCUAGGGAAAGAGUAAAUUUCUUCAACACAUACCAGAUAAACCCAAAUUCUAGUCAAUUGAUGCCCCAGUGACCAUUUUCCUGGGAACACUUUGGCCAGCACAUCAGGGAGCCUAGGUGGGUACACCAGCUUCGAAGCUUGCUGCUUUGGAGAUCCUGAUAUGUCAGUUCCAAGAGUGGGUUCCCUUGCAACAAGUUGUUUGGGGAAGUAAAUCAUUGAGGAAUAAACUAUUUCUGCUGAAAUGGGAGACAACAGUAGAAAUUAUUUUCUUAUUGGUCUCAUAACAAGAGCAUUGAUUGAUGGAUCCUGUUGCCAUCAGGCAUGGGUAGAAGGAGAACUGAAGAGAUGAAGGGAACAAUGCCCAGUAGAGAAUAGGCCUACUAAUGAGCCUGAAGUAGAGAGUAAGCAUCCACAAUGUAUAUGCAAUGUACAGGGACUGUGCUGAUACACUCUAUGUCUAUACAUGCUGGGAUGCUGGCUCCAAGAAACUUUUAUAAAGCUGCCACCAUAAGAGCAGCUGUGGGCUGUACCUCCCUGCAGUUGGUGGAUUGGGUACAGUAUGAGAACAAUUCCACUGAUGUCUGGGAAGAAACACAAUUCCACUCACUACUGCAUGCUGUGUGUUGGUUCUGCAGGGCAAAUAGGAGUUAACAAAAAAUUAUUCUUUUGACCAAAGCAAGCAGAUCUUACUUUGAAUACUCACAUGGAACACCUCAGCUGAGAACGUACUGUUUUUACAUAGUCUUUCAGAGCAGAAUCAUAUUUUAAGUCACAAAUCCAUCAGUGGUCACAAAACAAAUCCUUUGCUUAUUUUGCGGACAGUCUACUUCCAUGCUCUUUUAAUAUCCUAAAUAGAACACUUAAAAAAAAAAAUAGUAAUUGAGUCUUCAGCCCUCUCUGUGUGAUCUCCCUUGGAGAAAGUUUUCUUUCCCCUUUUGAUGCCCUACAUGACUUCAUAAGUAAUCCACAGCCUCAACUUCAAAACAAUUAUAUUCUCCUGUUCAUUUUCAUACCAAAUCUUUUGCUUUUUAAAAGAAUUGUUAAGAAAAAAAGGAAUAUCUUUAAUUACAGCGAUUAUAUUCAUCACAACAUUCUCAACUUCAGCAGUCUCUUCAACUUGUGAACCAGUAAGAAUAGAUAUGGUAUCUUAGUUCAGUAUUUUCAACGAUGAUCUCUUUGUUAACAUGGACAAUUCUAAAGGAGUGAAAGUAUUACUGAGAGUUUUUGGUUUUGAUUUUCUGCACUUUCUUCAUUAAUCUAAGGGAGAGCUGUACGAUGGAAUAGGGCUAUCAUGAGACUGACAGCUGUGGGUAGUUUGCAAUAUUCUGCACUUACACAGCCCUGUUCAACUGAAGAUCUCAUAAUGCUUUAUAAAUAUAAGACCUUACCACCAGUAAAAGAAAGGUAUUAAGAGUGUAAGUUGUAUACAUCUCUGUGAUGUAAAGAUGAGAAAAUGUUUGGCAAUAUGAAAAGCUGUUUAACAACAGGUUAUAAUUUGGAAAGUGAGGUAGGUACAAGUGAGUUAGUUUAACUGCAAUUGUUUUGAGAAGUGGUUUUUGGAAACAGCAUGGCUGGAAUUUAUUUAUUCAACCACAGAAGUAAUGCGCUUGUUAUUUCAAACUAUAUUUAUGACUGUAGGAUAUACAGCAAAACCUCAACUGUUAGUCAGUGAAAAAAUGGGUAUGCAAAGUGAUCAUGUUUCAAGAAUGUGAAAUGUGAAAACUAACUUAAAACAAAACUUAUGUUAAUUCAGUACAGAAAGAGUAUAUGAACCCCAGCACACGGAUUUAGUGAAUAUGCGAGGGGCUUCUGACAGGCCAAAAGACAACACUAUGAAUAGGUAAUAGGAACCAUUGACCAUGAAUCUGAGAAACUUUUGGUGGUUCUGGUGAACUGCCAUGUGAAAAUAUGUGUCUUCUAAGUCAAGAAUAGCAUACCAGACCCUGGUAUCUAAGGAAGGGAUAACAGACGCUAGAGUAAUCAUCUGGAAUUUUGUUUUCCUUAGGAACUCGUUUAGCUCCCUUAGAUCUAAAAUAGUCCAAAGAUCCCCCUUUGCCUUUGGGAUUAACAAGCCUCUGAAUGACAUGGGAAACUUCCUGUAUGUCCCCCAUGAGGAGAGACUGGACCUCCUGAAUGCUCUCAUGAGAGUGGUCCAUGAAGAGGGAUGUAGAAGGGGGGAAUUGAAAUAAAUUGAAGGGUGUAUCACAGUUCCACUGUGUUUAGGACCCACUGAUUUGUGGUGAUGACCACAGUGUCAUUGGAACUGAGGAGACUGGCUCAGAGUCUGGAGAUGGGAAUACCAGUGAGAUCAUUGCUGGCUUCCUCCUGGAUGGAACCCUACAGAGAGGUGCAACUGUAGCAGCCCCCAGUAUUGAAUGGUUUGGGGUGAAGCUGGGACUGUAGGAGUGGGCAAUUCCAAUCUGUCUGGUACCAGACAGGAGUCCUAAACUAUGUGGGAAGCCAGCAUUGGCAAGUUCAGUGAUUCUCAAGCUACCUCAGCAGCCUCAGGUGUAGAUGGUACUGGAAAGGUCUCCUGACUGUGGUAUCAAAAGGUACGCCAACACUUGAGGGAUGGGUCUCAAUGGACCCUUCCUCGGCUCCAGAGUCAGCAAUCCUUGCUGGCUUACGGAGAGUGUCUGGUGGUGCCUCUUUGUCACAUCUCUGAAUCCAUGCUUCCACUUGGUGCCUUAACUGCCAAUCUUGAAGGCUUUGGUAUUGAGUCUUUGGGAGACUUAUGUUGUCUCUUCUACGUUUUCUCUUAGGAAUUGGUGACAAGGAUCUGUCUCUGGACCCAGUCAGAUCAGAGGACCAAUUGGCUGUGCUAAGUACCUGUUCCAAGUGGGAAGGUUCCAAUGGCGGGAGAUGCACAGACUCCAUAAGCAGCCUUGAUGUCAGCUCAUCUCUGGAAACAGCAUGCAUUAAUUUGACUACUACAGUCAGAAGAUGCACAAGGGCACAACACACAGGAGAAUCCAUCCGCAACAUACAGGAUUCUGAAGUCUA